UGUGGUGCGCGCUCCUGAAGUCGCGUUCACGUUUGGCAGCUCCACGUCGACAUUCUUCCAGCUGCUUAUAGUGAACGGCUCAGCAGCACUGCACUGGGGGAAGAAAAGCCUUUUCAUGAGCUGAUCCAGACCACCUCGUGUUGGAUCGCAGCUGGUCCCUGACGUCUACCUAUUUCAGGUUGAAGGAGCACCUAAUCGCGAGGAGGAUAAGGUUCCACACAAGGACAAACCUGUGAGGUGGCACUGCUGUGGCUUUCCAAAUAAAGUUCUGUGAUACACUCAGACUCUAACUGCCUGCAGUCAGUGCAUUACAGAACUUUGUUUUGGGAGUGAAUGCAUCUGCAAACAUUUGGACAUUUCACUUUACAGUAUGAUGUAUUUUUUUUUCUUUACAUGUUGUUUUAUGGAAUAAAG